AGUUAAUUUUAUUGGAUAAUGAAGCCAUGGGUUUACAUGUUUUUUAUUUUAAUCCCAGUUUUUCUAUCUUUCUUCACGUUGGAGAGAAACACUGUUAUCUGAACGGUAAGUUCCCUCACGGCUAACAGCGUUCCCAGGAAUCGGCUUUAUAUGCGGCUCAGCAGCCAAGCCCGUUCACUUUCAGAAUGAGAUUAAAGAGGACUGAGUCUCGCUGGCCCGGCUGUGCGUCUGGUGGCGUCAGCGCCUCUGCGAGACGGGCUUUCACGGGCUCCUACUGUCAGCAAAACAAUUGUUUCUGGCUGACGCCCGGCACACACGGCUCUCAGCCAAAUGCAUUUUUUGAAGGGUAGAAUGCGAUCUCAAUAAUCCCAUUCAGCUUUGUUGAGGAGAGCGAGGAGAAAGAAUGCACCCUAGCUUCUGAUUCUGUCACAUUUUUAUUUUAAUUCUAAAUGCCGUCCGUACCCUUGGCUGGCAGUGAGCUUUCUGCACGGCCGGCAUCUUGGCUCCUUUGGAAAGGCAACCCUCGUUCACACAAGUCAGAGUUUUAUGAACGGCCGCCCCACUUCCCCGCCGUGGCUGUGCUGCGGUGUUGACCCAACACGACACACAGAUCCCUCUGUCCCCCGCUGGACUCCGGCCAGGCAUCUUCGGUCUGUGGAGCAAGAUCACUCAGCCCUGGAAAUCUCAGGGCAACAAAAAGCCUCUGUUCAUUCAUGACGGACUUUGAACAGAAAGGGCCCCGGCCACACCACAGGGGCCGGAAUCACGGAUGGGCGCCAGGGAGACAGCUCUUCAAUGAGUGCACGGAGCCCACGUUUAGUUUUUGGGGAGUGGGCAUGAGCCCAAGUCAGCACUCGUCUGUGUCAGUGAGGAGGUACCCCACAACUCAAAACCAAAAAGAAGACCUCCAUGAGUGCAGACCUCGUGAGACUGCUGUGUUCAGGCUCAACCCACAGGCCGUGAAACUUGAGUUGUCUGGCUCCUGGAAGGAAGGGGACCCCCGGCCGCUGGUGCCCGAGGGGAAAGCCUGUCCAGGUGGGUCCAGAAGCUGGGCCGAUGGAGCCAGAGAGGCCACUCCGCUCACCCGCUCUUCACCCCUGUGAGGAAAGACUCCUGUCCUGAGUGGGGGCACACCUGGUGAGGUCAGGGGACUCAUGGUCAGGCCUGGGGGACACUGCGUGCCUCCAAGACGUCAAGGUGGCCCUUGGUGUUUCAGGCCUUAAAUACAAGGGUCUUGCCGGCCAUGGUGAGACUUUUAAAAGUUGGCUUGAUGUUCAAAUGAAGGCACCCCAGCUCCUGUUA